rnacentral:tRNA from 1 species
CAAUGAAUAGUUUAAUAUUAAGAUACUACUGUUACAUAGUAGAGAUAAGAAGGGCCAUCUUCUUUUUGUUGA